CGAGGGGCAGGCUGGGAAGCGGCGCCAUAUUGGCGUCGGCCGCGCUGUAUUGUCAUAAAUAGAGCCGGUUUUGUGGUGUUUUCACUACUCGGUUGGAUGCCUCGGCCGUAGUAAGUGAGAAAGUGAGCGAGCAAGCGAGCUACAAGCAACCGGAGGAAAGUGGACAGGAGGAGAAGGAAAGAGCAAGAACUUGACUCCAGAGCGAAAGAUACUCGGCGGUGAGGGAGACGCAGGAAGCGAUGAAAGAGAUGUCUGCAAACACCAUGCUGGACAGCCAGCGUCAACAAAAGCAUUAUGGAAUCACUUCUCCAAUUAGUUUGGCAUGUCCAAAAGAAAUUGAUCAUAUUUACACACAGAAAUUGAUUGAUGCCAUGAAACCAUUUGGAGUGUUUGAAGAUGAAGAAGAACUGAACCACAGGCUGGUUGUUCUUGGUAAAUUGAACAAUUUAGUAAAAGAAUGGAUUUCUGAUGUCAGUGAGAGUAAGAAUCUCCCACCUUCUGUCGUGGCUACUGUUGGUGGUAAAAUUUUCACAUUUGGCUCCUACAGGCUUGGAGUACACACCAAAGGAGCUGAUAUUGAUGCACUUUGUGUAGCUCCAAGACAUGUGGAGAGAUCUGAUUUUUUUCAGUCUUUUUUUGAAAAAUUGAAACAUCAAGAUGGCAUUAGAAACUUAAGAGCUGUAGAAGAUGCCUUUGUACCUGUUAUAAAGUUUGAAUUUGAUGGAAUUGAAAUUGAUCUAGUCUUUGCAAGACUGGCAAUACAAACCAUAUCAGAUAAUUUAGAUCUAAGAGACGACUCUCGACUGAGAAGCCUUGAUAUAAGGUGUAUUCGCAGCCUAAAUGGAUGUAGAGUUACUGAUGAAAUUUUGCAUUUAGUGCCAAAUAAAGAAACUUUCAGACUCACCCUAAGAGCAGUCAAAUUAUGGGCAAAACGACGUGGUAUUUAUUCCAACAUGCUGGGAUUUCUUGGUGGUGUCUCCUGGGCAAUGCUGGUUGCAAGAACUUGCCAAUUAUAUCCAAAUGCAGCAGCUUCUACUUUAGUUCAUAAGUUCUUUUUAGUUUUUUCCAAAUGGGAAUGGCCAAAUCCUGUCCUGCUGAAGCAACCAGAAGAAAGCAAUUUGAAUUUGCCUGUUUGGGAUCCUCGGGUAAAUCCAUCAGAUAGGUAUCAUCUCAUGCCCAUAAUCACCCCUGCCUACCCACAGCAGAAUUCUACGUAUAAUGUGUCCACCUCAACUCGAACAGUAAUGGUAGAAGAAUUUAAACAAGGUCUUGCAGUCACAGAUGAAAUCCUUCAAGGGAAAUCAGACUGGUCCAAACUACUUGAGCCACCAAAUUUUUUUCAAAAGUAUAGACAUUAUAUAGUAUUGACUGCCAGUGCAUCAACAGAAGAAAACCAUCUAGAGUGGGUUGGAUUAGUAGAAUCUAAAAUCCGUGUGCUUGUUGGAAACUUGGAACGGAACGAAUUUAUUACUCUUGCCCAUGUAAAUCCCCAGUCAUUCCCAGGAAAUAAGGAACAUCAUAAAGACAACAAUUACGUGUCAAUGUGGUUCCUUGGAAUAAUUUUUCGGAGAGUUGAAAAUGCAGAAAGUGUUAACAUAGACCUGACCUAUGAUAUACAGUCGUUUACUGAUACAGAUUCCUGUACAUCACGUCGGCACUACCGAAUCCCACACUCUGGGAGUGGAGCCAGAGAAUCUGCAAGUUGAACAAGCACUCCUGGUGAUGCUUUUAUAAGCAAUCUGGAAUGAAAACAUGGAUAUACAUUUUUCCAUUCUAAUUUGGGCUCAUUUUUCCAAAAGCAGGAGAUUGGGAAGCUCUGUUUGUUGUAGAUUUAUAGAAUGUUCUUCUCCAGAUAGAGAUUCUGAGACCCCAAGCGAGGAGAUAAUGUACCACAUUUCACAGUAGUUAACUAUGCAAAAGAAGCCUCUCCUCUGUGUCUUCAGUAAGCUUAUGAUCUAAUUUGGUAUUCACAGUUAAACGUACAUUAAAUAAUCCGUGUUAAUAAAACUGACUUUGUUACAAGAUGUGAAAAGUGCUAGAAAGGGACUCUAGGGCUGUGUGUAUUCCACCAUCAGCAAGUAUUCAGGGCUUUUGAGCCUCAUUUCCCCACCUGUACAAUAAGGAUGUACUUCUGGAUAGUUCCUGACAGUCCAAUAUUCUAUGAUUAGUGUAGUAAAAGAAACAUCACGGUGGAUGACAACUUGUAUUGCAUCUUGGAUCUUUAGUAUAAGGAUUAGCUUAGACUUGGGUGAGUAAUUAUAAGAGAUUGUCUUUUGGGGAAAUAACAGAAAAUGAUUUGGAAAAAACUUUUUUCAUGCAUUUUAAUGAGAUUUGAUUAUUGGAAAGUCUUAGAAGUUGGACAUGGGAAAACUAGUUGGUACUUAAAUAGGAUUGUGAAAUGAAAAUGUUUUAAAAAUACUUGUUCUGUAAGCAGAGUGGGUGUGUAUGUUUGUGAGAUUAUGGGGACAUAUCAAAUAUAUGCAUUUUGGAAAAAGAAAACAGACUUCCUGGUUGAGGAAGAAGUUGCCCAUUUAACAUACUAACAUUGUUACAGUGUACAGACAGGCAAACAAUAUAAACAUGCUAAAGGAAGGGAUGAAAAUUGAAGCAACUCAUGUUAAAAAAAAGCAACUUCAUCACUACCUUCCCGCAGAGAUUCUUCAAAAGAAGAAAAAGCAAAGUCUUUCUGAUGUCAGUCGAAGUUCAGGUGGACCUCAAUCCAAAAGAUCAUCUCUGGAUAGCAAUUGUUUGGAUAGCUCCAGAGACACUGAUAAUGGAACUCCUUUUAAUUCCCCAGUGUCUGCAAACAAACCUUCCAAGCCUGACGUUCUUCCUUCAGGAGAAACGGAAAGGAAUAAUACUGAGCCUGCUGCUGUAAUUGCGGAAAAGCCACUGAGUGUGCCACAAGCUCAAGGACUGUCUAUCCCAGUCAUUGGUGCAAAAGUUGAUUCUGCAGUAAAAGCCGUAUCGCCCCCAGCUGUGUGCACCAUUCCUACUGUAGUCGGACGAAAUGUCAUUCCUAGAAUCCCAACACCCCACAACCCUGCCCAGGGACAGCCACAUCUUAAUGGAAUGUCAAACAUAACUAAGAAUGUUGCACAUAAGAGGUCCCAUUCCCCAUCCGUAGAUGGGUCUUCUAAGAGGUUGAAAGAAAUAGAAAAGUUUAUUCGACUUGAAUCAACAUUUAAGGAAUCACGUGCUCCUGAAGACAGAAAAAGAAAAGCAAUGGAUGCCAUUGGAGGAGAAUGUAUGCCUAUUCCAACUAUUGAUACAUCACGCAAAAAGAGACUACCCAGUAAAGAACUACCAGAUUCAUCAUCUCCGGUUCCAGCAAAUAACAUUCGAGUCAUCAAAAAUUCCAUUCGACUGACCCUUAAUCGGUAAAAGCAGUGCCUCCUUACUUAAGUGAAUAUGCAAUCAUUUAGUGGCAUAGAGCAGCCACUCUUUUUAAAAUAGAAGUGGCUGUCACACAUAUAAUAAGGUGAAAGUUACAGUCAUCGGACUAACAAGCUUGAAGUGGUUUUGAACUCUCACACUUUGACCUGCAGAUGCCGUAGCAUUCUCUCAUUGAUUUGCUACGUACACUUCUGUGAGGAUCAUCUGCUAUCAGAUUGUCAUCUACAAUGUUAUGGCUUUGCGUUGGAGGUUUUACUGCCUUAACUUUCGAUGCUUGUUUCUCUGUUGUGGGAACCAGUUCUCGGCUCUUUGGACAUGGAUAAAACGAGUCCAGAACUUUUUUCUUUUUUUUUUUUUUUUUUAAGUCUUAUGUUAUAAUCAUUGUAUAGAACUGAAAAAGUUGAAAACAAAAAAAUUGUAAUUUUCCAAAUGUUAACACAUUUACUUUAGCCUUGAAGCCACUUUGUGAAACCUGAGAUAAGUGAAUGUGAGGUAUCUUUUCUGCUUUCCUCAUUUGUGUAGAUGUACUUAUUGUCUAUUCUGUUGAUUUAAAUUAUUUUUUUCCAGAAUGGCACAUGGAAUAUUUAAAUUUUUAUUUUUUUGUGCCUUUCUGUCCAAAUGUUGCAUAGUUACCAGGGAGGAUUAGUCCAGUGAUUACAUAAGAGUUGGGCACCAUAAAUUCUCUAUAUUUUGCCUCCCAUGGAGGCCUUCGAAAUGCAUCUUUAUUAAGAAUCAAAAUGUAACCAAGAUACUGAAAGUCAGUAUAUGAAUGGUGAAAUUGUUACAUAUCCUAGCUCAUGCCAUUCUUGUUAGUUGACUGGUGUUUUUUACCGAGGAGCAACUCAUUCCAGCAUCAACAAUGAGAUACCUUUAAAUAUGGCAGACUUGUAUUCUUGAGGUGUAAAAUUAACUCGGCAUGAUAAUUCUUGACCAUUACUUACCCCACAACUUCAAAUAGUUUCUUCAUGGACUAGGCAUGCAGAAAUAAGCAGUGGAUUUUACUGAAACCUAAGGCAUUUUUGGACGACAUUGUUACCAACCAUUAAUUGGCUCAGGACCUUUGUAAUUUUUAUUUAACGAUAUGAGUUGUCUUUUUUUACACUGCUUUUUUCAAUGCAUUUCUUAAUAUUUUUUAAGUUUCAUGAACGCAUGCUCAGUUUAUUAAAAUCCAUAACCAUGUAAUUCUUGUAAUAUGUUGAUUCAGUGUUUUGUAAAUGAAGUCGUAUGUAUUUUCAGAGUAUUUUUGUAUGUACUGUAAGAUACCAUCUUUUCAAAGAGAAAACUUUAAAACCUUUACUGUCUCUCUUUAAUUUUUUUAAAUAUGGAUUAUGCUUGAAUUACUCUUAAAAUGAAAAUGUAUAGAUUGCACAGCCAGGAAUGCUGGUAUUUAUUACUUUCUUCAGCUUUCACUCAGCAAUUUAGUAGGUUCUGGUAGGAAAAACACAAAUGGUACAUUUGAAUGGAGCAGGGAAAAUACUUGGUUGUAUAUUUUAUAGGACUCAUGGGACCCGUUUAGCCCGUGGAAUAAUAGUCCAUUUUCUCUCACAAGCCCCUUACCACAGAGUUGAAAUGCUUGGAAUCCUGAUAGAGAGCAGUAUCCUUCUCCCACUCCUGUUCCGUGAUCCCUCAGUUGCUGAAAUGGAAAUUCUAGUAUUUAAUCUCUUACAAGGGACAACUUAGAAGAGCAAGGAAAAAAUAGUUGUUGUUCUGUUACUCUCUUUUUACAUAGUAAAAGGCAAAAGUGAAAUCCUGUAACCAAGUUGUAGCUCACUUGGAAAGCUCUUCUUUUAGCCAACCCUUUCCUUUAUUCAAAUAUUUUUAAAUUUGUCCUAUAAAAACUCUUUGAGCAGAAGUAAAAGAUUACGAAAGGACUAAAUAAUUAAAAAAUUAUUCAGUUAGGAAGAUUUGAUUAAAUUUUCUGUAUGUGCUAUGUUUGCAUUUCUGUGUUUAAUAUCUAGCUAUUUUCCCCUUCUUUUAUCAGUAUUCAAGUCUCUAAGAAUUCUCAUGUUUGCCUUCCUAUAUAAACAUUCUUUAGAAUGACUAGUAGAGUUUUUCUUCAAUAAGAAAGCAACAGGCCUAACCCUUAUACCACAGUAUAGUCAUUUCUUGUCUGUUCAGCAUGGGGUUGAGACAGAGCCAAAUCAGUUGAAUGUUAGACACCUCAAAGAUCACAUUCUUCAACCUGUUUGACAACUUGGGAGUUGAAGAGAUACUUUUGAGAUGGUGGGUUUGGUCAGAAAUGAAGUGUUUUCUAUCGUAAACAGUAGAUAGAAUGUUCAGUACAUUUUGUGAGCGUAGUAGGAAAGCUCCAUUGUACUGGUUCCAAGUAAGUAAAAGGGGAAGGUUUGUAUUGGGAUUGUAUGUUAUGUUCAGAGGCACUAAAUAAAUGGGUCUUCAAGUUUGAAACUUACCCAGAAAUAUAUUUUGUAAAGUUAAUAACCUCCGGUAUGUAGACACAUGUUCAUUUUCCCAAGGGUAUGAAAUCUUAAUCUCAGUGUUCAGGACUGGCUCUGAAGAAUAGUAUGUAUCAAAGGAAAAUACUUGUCUGCUAGCUUAAAUCACAGGGACUUAAUUCAUUUGAGAGGGUACAUGGCUUAAAACCUUGUAAAAUUGGGGCAAAAUGAAUUUUAAAAGACUAUUGGUGCUUACAAUAACUGUCUUAAAGCGACAAGUAACCUUAUUAAAAUGCUUACUUUACUACAGUAGCAAUAAAGUACAGAUGAACAGUGUGGAAAUGGGCUAAACUUAUUUUGUGUUCCUCAGCUUUGAAAUAGGAAUUCCUAACUCGGGGAUCAUGGGCCUUUGGGAAUCCUUUGCAAAUGUAUAUAAGAAAUUUGUUUAUAUGCGUUUUUGUUUUGUUCUUUACUGGCGGGGGCGGGGGAAUUCAUAAAUUUGAUCAGCUUCUCAAAGUGGUUCAUGAUCCUUAAAAAAAAAGGGAUGAUGGGGCAUUCUUAGGAACCACAGCUUUGCAACAUUGAAUUAUCCCAGACUCUUUGAGGUUUUUUCCCAUAAGCUUUCUCUGUUGUAGAUUUCUGAAAAUGUAGUAUGGCUCUUAACUAGUAAAGUGGGCUGUUGGAGGAUUCUGGAAUACCAAAUUUCUCCGAAUUUCUUUAUAUAUUUCAGAUGAACCAGUGUUUAGAUGAAUCAGUAUUUAGAAGAAUGCCUACUAUUGAAUUUAUAAAUGUCCUCAUGUUUACAUUCAUUAACAGGGUCAAACUUUAGUAACUUUCAACCUAAGACUGAUCAGAGCAGAAUAGCUCAGAAUGAUCUUUAGAAAUAGUAAACAAUAGAAUUAAUCAGUGAGGAUCCUAAUCCUUUGGUUUCAGCAGCAUUAACGUUCUCUCUUGUUCCUUCAGGUUUGUGGUUCAGAGCAGAAUAGUCUGAACAGAAAGAUAAAGAGAGAACUUUAGUUUUAAAAAAUAACAUGUUCUUAAACAACCAUCAAAUCUUCCAAAGCUUAGAAUUUAGGUCAUAAUGAUAGUGGUAAACAGUGCAGACAAUGGAAGAAAACAGGUCUCAAUAAUGGUAACUAUUUCCUUUGGGUUUUUUUAAAGAAUUGUACAAGGUAAGAUCCUCACCAGAUUCCCUAUUUUUUCUGAAUUUUACUGAUACCAUUUUAUAUCUGUAGUUGAACAUAAGAUUAUCAUCGGGUUUGCUACAAUUUUUAAGCCAUUGCUGCAUUUCAGCAAAGAGUCACAUAAUUACCUUAUAAAGAACUUAAGAUAUCUUUGAGGUAAAUGGUGCUACAUCAUUCCACAGUAUUAUGUAAAAUGAAUGCAGCUGCCGUUCCUUUCUAGAUAGCUGUUUGUGUAGUUCAUACUAAUAUUUCCUGCCUUUUAUUUGGAUUGUCUUAUUUCUUAGUUGUACACACAAGCCUCACUUGUCUGGAAUAAGUAAUCAAAUAAACUUGCUUUGCUAAA